GUGUCAGCAGCCGCGGUAAUACGUAGGGUCCGAGCGUUGUCCGGAGUUACUGGGCGUAAAGCGCGCGCAGGCGGCGGUGUUGGCCCGGCGUGAAAGCCCCCGGCUCAACCGGGGAGAGUCGUCGGGGACCGCACCGCUUGAGGGCGGUAGGGGCUGGUGGAAUGCCUGGUGUAGUGGUGAAAUGCGUAGAGAUCAGGCAGAACACCUGGGGCGAAGGCGGCCAGCUGGGCCGUCCCUGACGCUGAGGCGCGAAGGCGUGGGGAGCGAACGGGAUUAGAUACCCCGGUAGUCC
rnacentral:rRNA from 1 species